rnacentral:lncRNA from 1 species
GGGAGACGUUUGAGACCCAGAGUCUCUAGAGCUCGUAUUUGAAUUUGUGGCGCUUGGUGUCCGCGAGUUGCCGAAUGAAGCUGAGCGUCUUAAUGGAACCAGGGAUCUCAGGGAGACAGGGUCUUGCUUUGUUGCCCUGGUCUUGAACUCCUGGCUUCAAGUGAUUUUCCUGCCUCAGCCUCCUGAAGUGCUGGAAUUACAGGCAUGAGCCACCACACCUGCGCCUGCCCCUGGCUCAGCGCCCGGUGCCAACAGAACACCUUUCAGGAUCCACAGCAACGCAGACAACGUAAGUACCAGCCGUUCCCUGAAACCCUUUUGCAGAUUUUUUAAAAACAACCACCUAAAACAUAGAGAGAGAGAGAGACAAGCCUCUUUCCCCUUCUUCUCCCCUGCGUUAUGCCACCAGUGUUUCCUCAGUAGCCCCUUCCAAAUCCCUCUGCCUUCAAGUUUGUGCAUGUCUGUGUGGCAUCCCUCCUCCUCCUUCACUCCCAUAGUGGAUCUUGUAAAAGGGCUUCAGAUCGGCCCCAUUCAUCUCCCUGGUGAUAGCAGUGAAUGUAGAUAAAUCUCUGGCUGCCUGCUUGCUGCUGGAGUAUGAUUUUUAUUUUGUCUUCUGUGUAUACCUGGGUCAAAAAGUGGGAUGUAUGCAUAUACAUACAUGCACAUACACAUAUUUCCUUCUCUCUCCUCUCUCUCCCUCCUUUUUCUCACACAUGCAUACAUCCUACAUAUGUGUGUAUAUGCAUAAACAUAUACACCUAUAUACAUACCCAUACCUGUAGCACAAAAUAUAUACAUAUCUAAACGUUUGUCUGAAAAUAUGCAUAUUUUAUACACAUACAACCUUACACAUGUGUUUAUACGCAAUCGAUAGGUGCCUAUCUUUUAAUUUAUACCCAUCUAUAUCUCCAUUUAAAUAUUCCCUCUCUUCUCCCAGCAGAGGCUGUGUGCAAUUGCAAUCCAGGAUUAUACAAGCAGUAUUCUUUACUUAUGAUUUCUAGUUGUAGACCUUUAUGCUCCCUUCUCUGCCUUCUUCGCAGCUGUAGAAUUGGCAUCUUUCCCUGAGGUUUUCCGAGUGGCAAGUGGCACCGGCUGUGGCAUGUAUUCAUGCCGCUUCCUAUGGUAUUUCUCUUCCGAUGUCUGCUUUUUCUUUGUUUGUUGUUGACUAGGCUGAAUAGUGGGUUUUUUUUUUUAAGUUAAUUAUAAACCAAGUUGAAGUAGCAAACAAGCCAACAGCUUGCCCCCCCACCAAAAGAAAAAUUAGCCCCACACAAGCGCCUUCUGCUGCAACAGAUGCCCAGAUCACCCCUGGCACGGGCAAACGGGCAAACGAUUUUGGUGGUUUUCAGUUUUUUCUGUUUGUUGCUGUAUUUGUUGUUUGUUUUCCUUGUUUCUUUUUUAUUUUUCGAGGAGUCCAGAAUCCCGGCCUCUGCUUGGAACGGAACAGUGUCAUGGCGGAGACGACGGCCUUUGUCUUGCUGGGUGUGAAAACAUCCGCUGUGCUGGCUCCACUGCGGCAGAAUCAAGUUUAAAGGAAAAAAAGUGAUUAAAGUCAGCUUUGUGCCUCUGUGGUGUGGAAGACCCCCAAACCCCAAGUAGCCGAGUCCCAGGGUCCGAGGAAGGGCUCAUAGUUGGAGCAGCCUAGGCUGUAAUCCUGGCAUUUGCGCCUUCGGUUGCUGCUUGCUGUUCGCUCCUGGGGGUCUGGAUAAUCUCCCUUGGCUUUACCGCACUGUCUGGCCCGCAUACAGGGCCCCGUAACAUAUACCCGCUGCUGCUAUCACACGAAACUGUGGCGUUGCCCCUGAAUGGAUGGCACCGUGCCAACUCUUCUGCCAUCCGCCCUUGCAGCUUUUUUCUUUUCUCCCUCCCUCCCCUUCUUCUUCUCCUCCUCCCGUCGACUUGACGUUAAUUAACACUCGGGUUAAUUGAUUUUAAAAGCCGAAGAAUUACAGUUAACUUUUCCCACAGGGUACAGACGCCAGCCGCUUGGCACACUCUGCUUUUCGCACUGGUGCAGGGGAGCAGGGAAAGCCCGCAGCAAAGCUAGCAACUGCUGAGGGAGCGUUGCCUGCUUAUUGGAGUAGAGCCGAUAGAAGUCGACGUGGCAUUGCCUCAUCCUUUACAAUAUAUGUAGCCAUUAUAUAUUUUGUUAAAUAAUCAAAACAACCACCCUGUUUUUCUUCUCCGUUCCUCU